UACGUAGGGGGCAAGCGUUGUCCGGAUUUACUGGGCGUAAGGCGCGCGUAGGUGGAAGGUCAAGUCCGGCUUGAAAGCCCCCGGCUCAACCGGGGAGAGUGGCUGGAAACUGGCUUUCUUGAGGGCGAGAGAGGAGGGUGGAAUUCCUGGUGUAGCGGUGAAAUGCGCAGAUAUCAGGAGGAACACCAAUGGCGAAGGCAGAUCUCUGGGCCGUAACUGACGCUGAGGAGCGAAAGCAUGGGGAGCGAACAGGA
rnacentral:rRNA from 1 species